UACCUCAAAGAGGCUGCACUUGGUGAUGCCAAUGCUGAUGCCAUUAACAAUGGAUCCUUCUUUGCUAGUUAGUAUCUUCGUCGACUUAAAGCCUAAAACAAGAGGUUUGAUUACUGUUGUUUAUAAAUGCUUUAACAAUAAGACUGAAAAUUUUGAGAAGAGUUUCAUAAACUUAUGUAUUACAACUUGGAUGCAGGAAAAGAAGCACAACAUGUUGAUCUUCCUGUUGCUGAAGGCUCUACUGAUUCAAUUGCAACAAAACUUGAUUCAACUUCUAUGGCUGAAGAUGGAAGUUAUCUUUUCAAAUUUUAAGGGCACUUUUGUGGGAGUAGCUAUUUGAUAUGACCAGAAUUGUGUAUUUAUGAAAUCAGUUCUGUUUUGUUAAUACAAGAUUUGGUUGAGCUUUUGUAUCAGUUUUGUAAUGCUAUGUAAUCAAUUUCUUGAUUUUGAAUUUCA
rnacentral:lncRNA from 1 species